rnacentral:lncRNA from 1 species
CCCCCUCGUGGGGAAGGUAGAAGGUGGGGUCUGCCGGACGCGUGUUCCUGCCACCAGGUGCCCGCUCCCCGCGAGGCCGGCUCAGGAGCAGAAGGAAGCCCGGUGCCAGCCAGCCUUCCUGAAAGACCAAGCCCGCGCCAUCCGGCUUCCUCCAGUGGACGCCUGCAGGACCCAGGAACACUACAUCAACACUGUUGGCGGGGACCUGGACACAGAAGACUCCUGUUUCAAGAAAAUACAAUCAUCUCUCAAAGGCUGUAAUUUAUAUGCAUUUUAAAACUCUAGGCAUUGAAAACCACCCAAGUGUCCCAAAUAGAAGGGUAAUAUAUAAUCAAUCACUCAGUGUAAUAUUAUACAUCCUUUAAAAAUGUUAUUGGGAAAUGUUUUAUGAUCUGUAAGUCCAAGGAAUCCUCUCCCACCAUUUCUUUCCCCCCGCUGUUCCCCCAUACCCACACUUCUUUGUUCCAAUUGGCAUGUAAAUUUGGUUUUCCCGCCAAAUGAGUCAGUCAUGAUGGGAACCUCAACUGAUUUGAACAGAUGUGUGUCAAUGUUACUUGGAAAACUAGAUGUCAAUAACCAGGGUCACAGAAAAAGGCAGUGGUCACAACUCUGUAAAAAUGUAUGCAUGCACACAGACAAGAACUAAAGUGGAACCCCACACAGGAAAACAGUGGGCUGUACUCCAGUGCUGGGACAUUGAAUGACUGUAUGCUGCUUUUGAUUUCCGUUAAUAUGGGCAACUGUCCAAUUAAAAAAAAAACUCCUAAGGA